rnacentral:rRNA from 1 species
GAUGAACGCUGGCGGCGUGCCUAAUACAUGCAAGUCGAGCGAACAGACGAGGAGCUUGCUCCUCUGACGUUAGCGGCGGACGGGUGAGUAACACGUGGAUAACCUACCUAUAAGACUGGGAUAACUUCGGGAAACCGGAGCUAAUACCGGAUAAUAUAUUGAACCGCAUGGUUCAAUAGUGAAAGACGGUUUUGCUGUCACUUAUAGAUGGAUCCGCGCCGCAUUAGCUAGUUGGUAAGGUAACGGCUUACCAAGGCAACGAUGCGUAGCCGACCUGAGAGGGUGAUCGGCCACACUGGAACUGAGACACGGUCCAGACUCCUACGGGAGGCAGCAGUAGGGAAUCUUCCGCAAUGGGCGAAAGCCUGACGGAGCAACGCCGCGUGAGUGAUGAAGGUCUUCGGAUCGUAAAACUCUGUUAUUAGGGAAGAACAAAUGUGUAAGUAACUAGGCACGUCUUGACGGUACCUAAUCAAAAAGCCACGGCUAACUACG